rnacentral:rRNA from 1 species
CCUACGGGUGGCAGCAGUGGGGAAUAUUGCGCAAUGGGCGCAAGCCUGACGCAGCGACGCCGCGUGAGGGAUGAAGGUCUUCGGAUCGUAAACCUCUUUCAGCAGGGAAGAACGGUCACUGUGCUAAUCAGCAUUGAAUUUACGGUACCUGCAAAGGACGCACCGGCUAACUCCGUGCCAGCAGCCGCGGUAAUACGUUGGUGGCGAGCGUUAAUCGGAAUUACUGGGCGUAAGGCGCUCGUAGGCGGUAUGUCAAGUCAAGGGUGAAAUCCCCGGGCUCAACGUGGGAACUGCCUUUGAAACUGGGCAACUGGAGUGUUGGAGAGGAUAGUGGAAUUCCAGGUGUAGGAGUGAAAUCCGUAGAUAUCAGGAGGAACAUCAGUGGCGAAGGCGACUAUCUGGCACAUAACUGACGCUGAGGAGCGAAAGCGUGGGUAGCAAACAGGAUUAGAUACCCGGGUAGUC